rnacentral:piRNA from 2 species
UGACAAUUGAGGUCCAGGAUGUGAAUGAU